UUUUUUUUUUUUUUUUUUUUUUUGUUACUUGGCAUCAAACUCAGGACCUUGUGCUUAUGAGGCAGGUGGUGGAACCACUAAGCUAAAUCCCAGCCGUCUUUCUUCCUUCUUAACUUCUCUUUCUCUCUCUCUCUAUUUACUUGAAGGCACCAGGGGGCCACCAGACCUCACCAAGGACUUUCUGCUGUAUGCACAAGCACUUGAGAACCAGUGUGGCUUGGAGUUCAACAACUAAGGAGCUCUGGAGACAGCUGGCCUAUGAAUGUGAACUGCUUCAAGAGGUCCUCACCGUGUUCCCUCCAAGGGUAGUAGGUGACUGCUGGGGUCCUGCCCUCCUAGAUCCAGGGUUCUGCAGACACCGCUGUCACACUUGUAAGUGGAGAGCUGAAUCCUCUGCCUGACACGUUUCCCUUGUCAAGUUGUCCCUGUCCCACCCCACCGACAUCGAUCGUCCUGGGAACUGCUUCUGAAGAAACCCUGCGCAGCACUUCGAGAUGUGAGUGCACUUUUUCGAAGGGCAGCUUGGGCUAAAACUUGACCUUUUG
rnacentral:lncRNA from 1 species